rnacentral:tRNA from 1 species
GCUCAAUUGGUUGAGUAUCCAACUCUUGAUUUUGGCUCAGGUCGUGAUCCCAGGGUUGUGGGAUCGAGUCCCAUGUUGGGCU